CGUAGUUGACACUUGACAGUCGUGUAGUGGCGGUGUUUUUGUAGUGAUUUUGUUGGGAAGGAGUGUUCUUUACAGGUAUGACAAUAAAUUGUCACGUUAUCGACAUGACUGAGUGUUGAAAUAUUUUCCAUCUUAGUUGUAUGUCGCCACUAAUAACCUGAGCGUGUUAUUGACUCCAGAUGAUAUUUGAUAUAUAACAUAAAGAUGAGCAAUUUAAGUGGACAUACUUCAGUAUCCUAUGAAAGUGAUUUUAUACAGUUGACGGAACUUGCGGGAAUAAAAAUGCAACCAGAAAUAAUCAGGGUACUCCUAGAAUUGCUCAGCAUGAACAUUCAUCCCACUUCGAUUUACACUAUUCUACGUCAUCUUUGUGCCCGACACGGACAGAAGGCACGUGCAGCUGCAGCCUGCCAGAAGCUCGCAAGCAAAAGUAAAUGAUUUGAUUUCCUUUUUAAACAAAAGAAGAAGGAAAAAGAAGCAACUUUCACCUCAAAUGUCAUUCUUGUUACACACUUGGUUAUAAUUAGUUUUUUUUAAUUUGUUUAGUGCACUUUCCAGUCACAUUAAUGUGACCAUCUGUAAAAACCUGAAUAACCACCUUUGACUGUGGACUGCUGUGAAACAUGCAGGAAGAGAGUCAGUGAGGUUCUAAAAGUUGCCGAGGGGUGUGUAGAGCCGUGCCAGCUCCAGUGCUGUGACCAGCUGUGCUAGGUUUCUUGGUUGAGAAUCAGUGGUGUGAACAGCCUGAUCAAGGUAGUCCCACAAAUUCGUGAUUUUGUUCAAAUUUGGGGAGUUUGGUGGCCAGGGGAGUACAGCAGACCCAUCUUGGUGCUCUUCAAACCACACACAUACAGCUGGGAGCUGUGUGACACAUUGUGUUGUCCUGCUGGUACAUGUCAUUGUUCCAAGGAAAAAAAAACUGCAAAUAAGGAUGGACAUGGUCAAGGAUAUAUGCAUAAUUACGGUGAUCCAUUGUGCAUUCCAGAAUGAUGUGAUCAUCCAGUGUUUGCUUUCAGAUGUUUCACACCAUACAUGCCAGUCUUCAUCUGUCUGCCGGAGCAUAAAAUAUGGUUCAUCUGAAUGUGAUGCGUCUGGAAAGGCCACCUGUUGCCACUCAGUGGACAUCCAGUCAUGGUACUGGUGUGCAAUUCCAGCCUUUGUCACUGUUACACCUUCCUCGCAUUCAGUUUUCUCAGAAAAUAGAGGAGCUAUGUUCAUGAUUAUGGAUUACAAUUAGAAUUGCAUGGAUGCAUAAACCAGGCAAGUUCUGCGGAGGUCCAUAUGCAACAACAUUCACUGAGCAGUCGUUGAGGAGACACUGUUCAUAUGUUCUUCUCUACACACAUCUGCAGGUGCCAUCCACCCCUGUUAUCUAUGGCCUAUGAUGCACAGCUCUUGCCUUGGUGCCGGUUUUGGAUAGCAGCAUUUUGCCAUGUGCUGUGUACUUUAACCACAACAACAAGCAAAUAAAUUACAAACUUAGCCGUUUAGGAAAUGCCUCCACCCUUGGCCCAAAAGCCGGUGGUCGUUCUCUUGCAGAAGUCAGAUAAAUAAUUCCAUUUCCACGUUAUGAUAAUGAAAUCAUUGUUUUCAGUGUCUCCCCCAAAAAGCUUUGUAUACCCUCCACUGUUAGUGCUUGCACUUGUAAUUUGUGAGUGGUUAUUUGCAUAUCGAUGUCGAACGUAGGUGAUGGUCGCAUUAAUGUGACAGAUAAUGUAUAUCAACCAUGUCUCUGUGACAACAUUCGGCACUGUGUGUACAGCUGGAGCAAAAGACAGAGAAAGGAUCUUUAGUGCAGCAAGGAACAUUAAUUAGCAUUUUAGCAUUGUAAUAUUUAUGUAUUAUUCUUUGAAUGUUUGGUAGUUAUCAAUUGAAUUUCAAUAAAGACUUAUGGAUUACUGGCA